ensembl:lncRNA
GUAGGUGUAGGUGUGAGUGUAGGUGUAAGUGUAGGUGUAAGUGUAGGUGUAGGUGUAAGUGUAGGUGUAGGUGUAGGAGUAGGUGUAGGUGUAGGUGUAAGUGUAGGUGUAGGUGUAGGUGUAGGUGUAAGUGUAGGAGUAUUUGUAGGUGUAAGUGUAGGUGUAAGUGUAGGUGUAAGUGUAGGUGUAGGUGUGAGUGUAGGUGUAAGUAUAAGUGUAGGUGUAGAUGUAAAUGUAGGAGUAGGUGUAGGUGUAAGUGUAGGUGUAAUUGUAAGUGUAGGUGUAGGUAUAAUUCAUAUAACCUUACAUUCAUAUAACCUGCUUCAAUUAUGUUAUUUGUCUUUAUUUUCCUGUUUUAAAUGUGACUUUAUUUUCUAUUAUUAUCCAUUUAAGCUAAUCAAGAAAAAUGCAUUAACUUUAGUUCAUUAAAAUGUCGCGAUAUCGCGGGACGUUAAUCGUUGUAAAUAUCGCCAUAUCGUGCACGCGGUCAGCAUCGUGCAUCGCUGCGGUCCAGCCUGUAGGUGGAGUGACGGAAACAUCUACACGCGCUCUCCUCCUGCUCCUCCUCCCCUUCAC